rnacentral:rRNA from 1 species
CUGACGAGUGGCGGACGGGUGAGUAACGCGUAGGAAUCUACCCUGAUGUGGGGGGACAACUUGGUGAAAACCAAGCUAAUACCGCAUACGCCCUACGGGGGAAAGCGGGGGAUCUUCGGACCUCGCGCUUCAGGAUGAGCCUGCGUCCGAUUAGCUUGUUGGUGGGGUAAAGGCCUACCAAGGCGACGAUCGGUAGCUGGUCUGAGAGGACGACCAGUCACACUGGGACUGAGACACGGCCCAG